GGGGCUGUAGCUCAGUUGGUAGAGCGCGUGGAUGGCAUUCAUGAGGUCGCAGGUUCAAUCCCUGUCAGCUCCA
rnacentral:tRNA from 3 species